GACGGACGCUGGCGGCGUGCCUAACACAUGCAAGUCGAGCGGAGAUGAUGUGAGGAAGUUUUCGGAUGGAAUCACAUUAUUUUAGCGGCGGACGGGUGAGUAACGCGUGAGCGACCAACCUUGCACAGGGGGAUAACGGACCGAAAGGUUCACUAAUACCGCAUGAGACCACGGUGUUGCAUGACACAGAGGUCAAAGGAGGAAUCCGGUGCAAGACGGGCUCGCGUCCGAUUAGGUAGUUGGAGGGGUAACGGCCCACCAAGCCUAUGAUCGGUAGCCGACCUGAGAGGGUGAUCGGCCACAUUGGAACUGAGAUACGGUCCAAACUCCUACGGGAGGCAGCAGUGGAGAAUAUUGGGCAAUGGGGGAAACCCUGACCCAGCAACGCCGCGUGAAGGAAGAAGGUUUUCGGAUUGUAAACUUCUGUCCUUGGUGAAGAGAAGAAGACGGUAGCCAAGGAGGAAGCCCCGGCUAACUACGUGCCAGCCGCCGCGGUAAGAC
rnacentral:rRNA from 1 species